CUCUCUCUCAUGGUUCAGAGACACACACUGCAACACACUUUACUCUUAACCACACACAGGUGUAGCCACUCAUUCAUUACCCGCUCGUUCUCUGUGACACGUCUUCCCAUUUACAGCCAGCACUUGACCACAACUACACUUCCACAGUUGCAACCAUACGAAGUCAUAAAGAACUCAAAAGGAUAUGGCGCAACUGCGAUACUUCCUAGAGGAGGCCAUCCACCAAACGUCAGUGAACGAGUAAGGAGGGCAUCAUUGGGAGGCAGGCUUGAUGCUCUGCUUCUGCACUUUCUUUAGGACUACAUGGUUCUACAUGGAUACUCCAAACAUCUGAACGUCCCCCAAACAGUAUAUGCUCAAGUCUCACCCUUGCUUCAGUCAAUCGUUUCACCUGGACUCUGUAGAUAAAUCUGAUGAAUCAUUGUUUAGGAUUUGUUGCUUUACUAUGUUCUACCUUUUUAUUUGAAUAGAAUUGUGAAAAGUCCCUAUAGACCAGGGUUUCACCCAGGAGAGAUGGGUUCGAUUAGGAGUCUGUUCCCCUUAAGGUUUCUUCCUCAUGUUAUCUCGGUGAGGUUUUCCUCACUACUGUCACCUCUGGCUGCAUUGAGGAUCCAAGUCUACAUCUGGAUGAAUACGUAAAGCUGCUUUGUUUCUUGUUUAACAUGCUUUACAAAUCACAUGGAUGGAAUUGCAUGUUUUUAUUUCUUUAUUUCUAAAUCCUCUGUUUACGCAGUACUAAAGACAAAUCUACAGUAAGUGAGAGUUCUUCAUUAAGCCUUCAAAUCUCC
ensembl:lncRNA